CUGAGCAGGUGUACAGGUGAAAGGAAAUUCUGGUGAGGACUGGCAGAUUAUGUAGCCUCCACACAUUUGCACAAAAACAAAUACAAAAAGAGAACUGAAAUACUGCUGAGAGUCCCUGUUCCAGCCCCGAGGUCAUGGAGAUGGUGCACACAGUUCUCAUGGGAGAGGCAGACCCGCCCACAGGCACUGAGGACUCUCAAGGUGAUAAUGAGGUCACGCAGUCUCUGAGGAACCCCGUUCCAUCUCAUUCUGACCGUGCUCCACUACAGAAUUUGUAGGAUUUUCAGCAAAUGUGAUGGAAUCUGAGAACACCAUAUUUAGUAUAAAGAAGAAAAUGUUCCAGUGAAAUGGGAAAAUGAUAUAAAAUGGAAGUACAAUGAAAGAAAAUGAGGAAACAGAGAGAUGUUCACUACAGAUGUCACCCAAAAUAUCAAUCUGAAG